rnacentral:tRNA from 1 species
ACUUGUAACUUUUUUAUAAAGCAUUUGAUUUGAAAUCAGAUUGUUUGUUUUUAUUAACAAUACAGGUU